UCCUCGGGCUGGUCCUCAUGGGGGGCGAUCCUCAAGCGCUCUUGAGUGCAUCGAGUUAAAAAGAACAGAGAGACUCUUAGGUCCACCAAGUAAACCAGCUCUUUUUUUUUUUUUUUUUUUUUUACCGCAGUGACUUAUUUGUGAUGUUCACUCAGGUCUAGCUCGGUACAUUUUCUGUAGUAACACACAAACUUGUUACAGAAUAUGCAAAGCCAGCUGACAAGCUCCUUGUUCAACGCACAGAUUCCAGCUAAGAAAUGUCAUUAGCUGAUGCAGAGGAAGCACCUCAGUAAAUACAUUGGGAUCCUUACCUGAUGCUCCUUACCACUGCUGACACAUACUGGCUACUUCAAGUUCAGUGCACAUACAUUAAUGAAUUCACAGUUGUUCGAGAUUGUUUGCCCAUUAGCUUCACUACCCCUCACUGCAGCAUUGAUGGUCUAUCCCGCCAAAACACAACACACAAUGUGUCAGCGAUCCUCCCUCCAGCCAAGGAUGGCUAGACACAGCUUGCCGUGGAGCCUGUCAACUCUGUGUAUCAGCCCCAGGGAAUCAAAUGAGAGCAGUGAAACGUGUUCUCUACCUCCAGUGUCUGUAGCCUCUGGCACCUACUGGUACGUGAGUAAAGAAGGAAAUCACAGCUGGCCUGGCUCAAGUCCCACAGUUUUACCCUUAAUAGCAAAUAUUUCUAGUGCAAACUUGUUCCAGCUUAUUUUGCAACUCAUUUAGAAACUGCAGUGUCAAAACUACUUUGACUUUACUACUCAUUUCAAUCCCAUUUUCAACUCACAGCGCUGAUCCAGCUGUUGUUAAAGGGCAGCGUUUUGUUGCGUACAGGGAUCUGGAUUCAAUGAUAUCCUGGCUUUGUGCCACAGUAAUGGUUCUUGAGCUUGGCAAAUACAUCAGCUGUUACCUUAAACUGGUCUGUCAGUCUGAUAUGAUUUCAUUCUGAAUUGCAGAAGAGCCUACAUAGUUCAUCUUUCUAACAGAAAAAGAAGUCAAAACAAAUAUGAAAUGUGGACAGAGGGUUCAACUCUUAGCCCACCAUCCACUUUUUUUGUACAUUGUGAGCUCUCUUAGGACAAAUCACUGUCAAAAGUGACUGCUGCCUUUGAGAACUUCAUUUUUCAGGCACUUGAGGCCAGGCACACGCUGCAGCACUUCCAUAACCAAGAGCUACCAGCCUCCGUGUCAGCCCUGGGUGAUCCUGAAACUCUGAAAUGUCUCAGAUCAGGCCCCUUUUGAAAUCAGCAUCUUUAGGCUUUCUGAAAUUCUCCCUUCUCUUAAGAAAGAACAAUAUGAGAUUUGUAGCCAUGGUUUGAUAUCUACUAAUUCUGAGUUUAUUUUGAUUGUAAAAGCACAAGAUUUUAAAAAAGGAUAGAAUUCAAGUUCAGAAGCAGAACAAUCUCAAAUGUGUGUUGCUGAUGCGAGGGUGACAAUGGUUAACGUCAUUUCUUGCUUCAGAAGAAAGAGCAAAGUAGGAAAGCAAGUGUCAUUUUGAUCUAAUUUUGUUCUAACAUUUGCCCUGAGAGCAGAAUAAAACUACAGCUGCUCAUCCUCUAGUGAAGAAGAGUAUACCCAACUUGUAGCUGUAAGCAAGUGAUCUCUGUUUCUAUAGGAAGCGCAGAGCAUUGCUUUGUCAUAUUAUGUGCGGCUGCACACAUUCAGCCAUUCCCAGUCUACGUGACUGUUCAUAAUGCAGUAAUAAUCUCCUUUCUGUUUUUAAAAGCACAUAAGAUUUACACACCACAGUAGCAAAAUUGUGCAAUGCUGGCAUGAAUAAUGUGUUAUGACAACCCCUCGGGGAGUAACUCCUGUUGGCAGCGUGUGUGUAAUCCCUGGAUGGCUUGAUGCACUGGUAACGGCCCCGUAACAAUGGGAACAUGAGCGUGGCCUCGGGUGUCUCAGACCUGGGCUUGGUGGGCUCAGCUGUGUUGGCAAGGUAACGCAGUUCAAGCUCAAAGGGGAAGGAGAAGCGGCUAAUAGUCACUGCAGAGGGCCAUCUGCUAAGUGACCAAAACUAUCUGAUAUAUUAAGAAAAAGUUUUAUAAAAGACUUGCUGAACUUUCUGUAUAACGAAAUUUUGUCAUUUCUCCGUUGGUUCUGUAUACUCUCUGUAACAACAAUCUGCUGUCACACUAUUGGCACUAUGUACAAAUACUAAUAACAAAUCACUUCCAUGGCACUGACUUUAACAGUCACAUAACCAUUUAAAAAGGAAAGCUCAUUAGGGGAGUGGGAAUUAACCAAACUGUAGAGAGGACACUGCCCUUUAUGUUUUGGAAUCCAGACAUGUACAACUCUGCAUCUCCCCAGGCACCUCCACUGAUGUCCUUCAGGAUAUGGAAUGACAAGUCUAUUCCAUCAGAGGACAGAGUGAAAAUGUUCAAACAAGGUUAGAUUUUGUAUACCUAGACCAUCGGUGCAAUCUAUUGGUGCAAUUUGCCAGUGUCUGUCGUAUGCGCUAAAAUCUGUGUUUUAUCUGUUAUCUAUAAAACAAUGAUAAUGAAUAGAGGUAACGUUCUGAGUAAAAUGUAUGUAAAACUGGUUAUUAUGGUGUAAAUAUUGAAAGAGAUGGCACUAAGUGCUUGAAAUAUGCUGUGCCAGUAGCUUUAACAGUGUUUGUGCAGCCCAGGCUAAUAGCUGCUCUUGCUAGCUGUGGCCACUGCCACUGCUGCUAGCAAUUGUCUCUGCCAGCAGUGUCCAUUGUGAUAUUUAGCUUUAAAAGUUUGUAAAAGCCAGAUUUAUAAACUUGUUUCUCCUCAAAGAGCAAAUAGAGUAACCAGGGCAUCUGAAAAAGCCCAGCUCUAGCUGCCUUCCAUAGCUAACCCAACUCAAACCUGCAAGUAGCCAGGAUCUCGUAGUCCUGGGCUAGCACAAGCCUGAACAGCUCUUUGUUUGCACCAGGUACACUCAGAAGGUCAUGUAAAUGUCUCAGCUUUAUUUAGCUGUUGAAAGGAAUCCGGUUUACUGCGUGCUUGUUGUUGAUGAGUUGUUCACAAGGUCAAGAGCUUUUGAACUCUACCAUAAGAUUUUCGUUACUGCAGUUCAGCAUUUCAGUUGGGAUUAAGUUAGGCAAUACAUAAGAAUGUUUUAGGGCACUUAAUACAGCAGGUACAAAACACUGCAAGUGCAAAGUGCCACGGGUGAUUUGAAGGUGCUAAAAAAAGUCUGUGUUUGUAUUGGUUUGAGUAUAUUGCGCACACACCACUCCAGUUCUAUGUCAGACUAGGCAUUGUCAGUUCCCUGCAGACAAUGUAAAGUUAGUAUAAAUACCAUAUUGUGUACUCUGGAUAAUUCAGCAGCAGCACAAUCAUGUGCUCUGCCCAAUCCAUUUGGACUGCUAGGUGAUACAGUACCACACAAAUCAAAGCUUAAUGGUCUUGUCAGCAUGUCCUCCCUAACACUGAGGUUUCUUAAUUGUCUCAGCUUCCUUCUGUCUGGCACACGCGAGCACAAAGAAAUUGAAUAUUUACCAGGAAGUUUCCUACCUCCUUCCCUGCCUGUAGCCCCCCAGGACAUCAUUCUAAUAGAGUUCUGUAUAAACAGCAGUUGGCAAAAAUCCUGAAGAACCUUCAGAGGCAGAUAUGACAUCACUGUGACACAUCAUCUUGAAUUUCUUAAGAAAAUUAUUUCCUCAAGAUAAUAGCCACUAGAGAAAUCAAUCAAGUUGAGGGUGUUCCUGGAGGGCCUCAUCCAUGAUUGCAUCAUCCCCAAGCCCCAACAGCUAGGCCUCCUGGUGCGGGGAUGCUCUCAGGGCCUUCACAAAACAAGCACAGUGGGCUCUGCCAUGAUGACAACUGGUUUGAAGAAAAACAGUGCUUUCUAGUACUCUCUUUGUAGCAAAAUCUAAAGCUCCCACUUACUGCUGAACGGUGCCACCCAACCAGCAAUCUGCUCCUUAUCACAUCUACUCAGUCCUGAUGCCCAAAAGUUGAGUUUCAAUCGACUUGAUCUUGCAUGCCUUUUCAAUUUCAGAUACACCAGAGCUUUCAGUACUUUUGAGAAAAUAUGUACCACUAAAUAUGAUACUUUGGAUUCAUUUCAAAAUACUCGACUUGCAGAAGUACACGUCCAAAGAUAAUUUCAUUAGGGUUUUUCUUUCCAUAACAGUACCUGGAAACAAGUCCUGCAAUUUCCUUCUCUUACAUAGCUCCCACUAAAAUCAAUGGAGCAAACUCAGAGGCACAGUCUGCUGAAGGUAUCUCUUCUUUCCACAGACCACAUUAGCUGCUUUGCAUGCCAGAUCUAGCCAUAGCGCCAUUGAUUCAUCAUCUCUGCUAAGAGGACUAAAAAGAAUUAUGUAUGAUAACCUUUUAUCCUCUAGUCACCUAGUGUUUAGGGCUGAAUAGCAGUAAAAUAUUCAGCUAUCUUUCUGUCCACAUAUAGCCUCCAGUGUGGUAUUAACCUCCCGCAUAGUCUGGUAGAUACAGUACUACGUGGAAAUAAUUUGAAGUUAAAUAUUUCAUGUGCAAUCAUCUGAUGAAAAAAAUCAUAAUUUUUCAAUGAAAAAGC